rnacentral:rRNA from 1 species
UACGUAGGGUGCAAGCGUUGUCCGGAAUUAUUGGGCGUAAAGAGCUCGUAGGCGGUUUGUCGCGUCGAAUGUGAAAACCCGGGGCUCAACCCCGGGCCUGCAUUCGAUACGGGCAGACUAGAGUUCGGUAGGGGAGUCUGGAAUUCCUGGUGUAGCGGUGAAAUGCGCAGAUAUCAGGAGGAAUACCGAUGGCGAAGGCAGGUCUCUGGGCUGACACUGACGCUGAGGCGCGAAAGCGUGGGGAGCAAACAGG